GAGAUUGCAAUUUUUGCAAAAUCUUGUUUUGUCGCUCUCCGGGUUUUCCUCCGUGAAGAAUGAUGUUAUUGAACUCCAUUCCGGGCAUUAAUGUUGAUUGUAGAGAAAAAUGGGUAUUUAUAGAAAGGAAAUAAAAAGUGGAGUUUAAGUGGGUUUUUGGUGGAGUGAUGGUUGAGUGAAGUUUGGAAAUGGUAAUGGUUUGGAGUUACAAUGAGAAAGUUGGGAUUUUUAGUGAACUUUGG
rnacentral:lncRNA from 1 species